rnacentral:rRNA from 1 species
UGGGGGAUAUUGCACAAUGGGCGAAAGCCUGAUGCAGCGACGCCGCGUGGGGGAUGAAGGCUUUCGGGUUGUAAACCUCUUUCGCUAUCGAACAAGGCCCGCUUAGGGUGGGUUGAGGGUAGGUGGAGAAGAAGCGCCGGCUAACUACGUGCCAGCAGCCGCGGUAAUACGUAGGGCGCGAGCGUUGUCCGGAAUUAUUGGGCGUAAAGGGCUUGUAGGCGGCUUGUUGCGCCUGCUGUGAAAACGCGGGGCUUAACUUCGCGCGUGCAGUGGGUACGGGCAGGCUUGAGUGUGGUAGGGGUGACUGGAAUUCCAGGUGUAGCGGUGGAAUGCGCAGAUAUCUGGAGGAACACCGAUGGCGAAGGCAGGUCACUGGGCCAUUCCUGACGCUGAGGAGCGAAAGCAUGGGUAGCGAACAGG